AAAGUUGGCCAGGCAAUCGCUGGGCAUUUGCAGGUAACUGCGGUGCCGGGAGGAAAGUCCGGGCUCCAUUGGGCGGGAUGCCAGUUAACGGCUGGGUGCUAUAAGUCACAAGACGAAAGUUGAGUGACCCAAGGCAACGGAAAGUGCAACAGAGAAUAGACCGCCGAUGGCGUCGCAAGGCGCACAGGUAAGAACCCCAUCCGGAGCAAGACCAAAUAGGGAAGCUGAGGCGUGGCCCGCGCUGCUUCCGGGUAGGUUGCUUGAGCCUGUCAGUGAUGGCAGGCCUAGAGGAAUGAUUGCCGAACCUUGCAAGAGGGGAACAGAACCCGGCUUAUCGGCCAACUUUCCAA
rnacentral:RNase_P_RNA from 1 species